UGCCAGCAGCCGCGGUAAUACGAAGGGUGCUAGCGUUGUUCGGAAUUAUUGGGCGUAAAGCGCAUGUAGGCGGUCCGCUAAGUCGGAUGUGAAAGCCCUCGGCUCAACCGAGGAAGUGCACUCGAAACUGACGGACUUGAGUAUGGGAGAGGAUUGCGGAAUUCCAGGUGUAGUGGUGAAAUACGUAGAUAUCUGGAAGAACACCAGAGGCGAAGGCGGUCUCUUGGUCCGAAACUGACGCUGAGGCGCGAAAGCGUGGGGAGCAAACAGGAUUAGAUA
rnacentral:rRNA from 1 species